rnacentral:misc_RNA from 1 species
AAAAAACGAGUUGCGGGACUCGAAAACCAUCGCGAACAUUACCUUCGUCGUCGUUGCUUCGGCGGGUGGCCCCGGGGGGGGCCGCAAGGCCCGCGAGGGCGCCCGCCGGAGGAGCGUAAACACUCUGUUUUCUUAGCGCCUCUCUGAGUGGGUACAGCGAAAUAAAUCA